CGAGAAGUAAGCAAGGGCACACGGGGGAUGCCUAGGCUCUCAGAGGCGAAGAAGGACGCGAUAAGCUGCGAAAAGCGACGGGGAAGGGCACAUACCUGGUGAUCCGUCGAUAUCCGAAUGGGGCAACCCCUUAUCUUGAAGAGAUAAGAUCUCCUUCGUUAGGAAGGUAGAGGCAAACGCCGGGAACUGAAACAUCUAAGUACCGGCAGGAACAGAAAAUAACAAUGAUUCCCCAAGUAGUGGCGAGCGAACGGGGACGAGCCCAAACCGGGUUGGUUACGGCCAGCGCGGGGUUGUAGGACUGCAACAUCUGAUUGAGUACUUUUAGCUGAAUGACGUGGGAAAGUCAACCAGAGACGGUGAGAGUCCGGUAAGCGAACUGAGUAUUCACGGUAGCAGACUCCUGAGUAAGGCGGGACCAGCGAAAUCCCGUCUGAAUCCGGCGGUACCAUCCGCCAAGGCUACAUACUCCUGAGAG
rnacentral:rRNA from 2 species